UGGUUUGUUAAGUCAGAUGUGAAAGCCCGGGGCUCAACCUCGGAAUAGCAUUUGAAACUGGCAGACUAGAGUACUGUAGAGGGGGGUAGGAAUUUCAGGUGUAGCGGUGAAAUGCGUAGAGAUCUGAAGGAAUACCGGUGGCGAAGGCGGCCCCCUGGACAGAUACUGACACUCAGAUGCGAAAGCGUGGGGAGCAAACAGGAUUAGAUACCCUGGUAG
rnacentral:rRNA from 1 species